AGGAAUUUCCCGCAUCCCAAUCAGCAGUCCCUCCAACACCAAAGAAGCUUCCAGCGCCCCUCCUUCCCGCAGCACCCGAAAUUCUUUCAGCUCUCAGGACGCACAGAUGGUCCCUUUCUCCCUAUGUGGAGUAUGAAGCUAGAAAGGCAUUCCACAAUGACACAAAUGAUAUCCUAGUGAAAGAGCAGAAGCUUCAGCCUGCAUUUUGGAAAACUAGGAUGUUCAACGAUGUCUCACCGAAAGCUCAGGUAUUCCAGAUCUUUGUGAGGGCUUCUCUGGGAGCUGUCCUCACUUGGCCUGAGGGUGGGACAAGCCUUCCCCAAGCACCACCCAGGGGUAGGCUGAUGACU
rnacentral:lncRNA from 1 species